rnacentral:rRNA from 1 species
AUUGAACGCUGGCGGCAUGCUUUACACAUGCGAGUCGAACGGUAACAGGCCGCAAGGUGCUGACGAGUGGCGAACGGGUGAGUAAUGCAUCGGAACGUGCACAGUCGUGGGGGAUAACUACUCGAAAGAGUAGCUAAUACCGCAUACGAUCUAUGGAUGAAAGCGGGGGACCGUAAGGCCUCGCGCGAUUGGAGCGGCCGAUGUCAGAUUAGGUAGUUGGUGGGGUAAAGGCUCACCAAGCCAACGAUCUGUAGCUGGUCUGAGAGGACGACCAGCCACACUGGGACUGAGACACGGCCCAGACUCCUACGGGAGGCAGCAGUGGGGAAUUUUGGACAAUGGGCGCAAGCCUGAUCCAGCAAUGCCGCGUGCAGGAAGAAGGCCUUCGGGUUGUAAACUGCUUUUGUACGGAACGAAACGGCUCUGGUUAAUACCCGGGGCUAAUGACGGUACCGUAAGAAUAAGCACCGGCUAACUACGUG